rnacentral:lncRNA from 1 species
AAAUGUCUCAGAUCGGCAGAUUCUUAGUGGAUUGCUUUCCUCAUGUAACAUCUCUGCUACAUUACAUUAGAAUUCUGUGGGGAAUGGGUAGUGGAUCAGUAUGCACAUGCUUUCUUGUUUCCAAUUCUUUUCAGCACCAUGUUUUGCAGUUUUGGUCAGUUCAACAUCAUUUUCUGGACUUCUGUCAGUCAUCACCAUGUUAUUUCUUUGACAGUGGGUGGUCAGUUCAGUAUUAUGAAAUUUAGUUAGUCAUAUUCAUUCUUAUUUCUUCAGUCAUGUUCAUUGAUCCUCUCACUCUCAGUCCCCUUCUUAGUUUUCUUUUGCCUCUUAGCUUGUUGGCAUAUUCACUACUUAUUUUAGUUUUCAGUCUUAUUCAGUCCCUUUUAUUCACUACUGCCGUGCACUAAGAAGGUCGACACAGUCUGCGAGGUGGAAGAUCCAUAACAUACAGGUGAGUCUGUAGGUGCUAUUUUAUCUUUGUGCAUGUGACACCCUCGAUUCAAUCGUACACUAAUCAUACACGCAAAUGUGUACGAUCAAGAUCAAGGACUCACGGGAAGAUAUCACAACACAACUCUAGACACAAGUUAAAAUAAUACAAGCUUUAUAUUACAAGCCAGGGGCCUCGAGGGCUCGAAUACAUUAGCUCGAAUACACAAGAGUCAGCGGAAGCAACAAUAUCUGAGUACAGACAUGAGUUAAACAAGUUUGCCUUAAGAAGGCUAGCACAAAAGCAACAUUGAUCGAAAAGGCAAGGCCUCCUGCCUGGGAGCCUCCUAACUACUCCUGGUCGUCGGCGUCUGUCACGUGGUAGUAGGCACCCUCGGGGUAGUAGCAGUCGUCGGUGGUGUCGCCUGGCUCCUAGGCUCCACCAUCUGGUUGCAGCAUCCGAGAAGAAUGGAAAGAGGUGGAAAAAAGGGAGCAAAGCAACCGUGAGUACUCAUCCAAAGUACUCGCAAGCAAGGAACUACACUACAUAUGCAACAUUAUCAAAGGAAGGCUGUAUAUGUGGACUGGGCUGCAGAAAUGCCAGAAUAGAGAGAAGGCCUAGUCCUAUCGAAGACUAGCAUCUUCUCGAACCCACCAUCUUUCAGCAACAGGAGGGAGUAGAGUAGCAUAAAGUAAAGUAGCAGUGGUGUUAUCAACCUCGGACGGAGAUCCUUUCUCGACUCCCUGCGAGAAAGAAAUCCCAGAGCCAUACUAUCCAGUUAUCAUCACAAUCAAAUCCUCAUCACCAUCCAGUUCUCAUCACAAGUAUCCAGCUCUAGUUGUAUCGAUCGGGAUACAACUCCAAGUGUCCGUUACCGUAGGACAGGCUAUCGAUAGAUGUUUUCUUCCCUGCAGGGGUGCACCAACUUACCCACCACGCUCGCUUAACUCUGGCCGGGCACACUUUCCAGGGUCAUGCCCGGCCUCGGCCAAACAAUAUGCCGCAACCCGACCUAGGCUUAAUAGAGAGGCCAGCAGCCGGACUAAACCUAUGCACCCAGGGGUCAUGGGCCAUCUCCCCGGGAACUCCUGCACGUUGCGAGGGCGGCCGGUGAGCAGACCUAGCUACCUCCUUCAACAAGGCAGGCGCUUACGCAGUCCAACCCGGCGCGCGCCGCUCAGUCGCUGACGUCUAUUAAGCUUCGGCUGAUGUAUACGACGCAGAACGCCCAUACUAUGCCCACGUGAUGGUUAGUGCUAUCAGGCCAGAGGCCCCUCGGAUCAAAUAUCCAAAUCGUAGUGGAUUAGGAACGCGCGAUAACAAGCAGGGACUCACGAAAGAUGUGACCCCGUUGCCCCGUCUCAAGGACUUGCGGCAAGGGCUAGGAAUGCCCGGCCACGCCUCGUAAUUAUCUCGCGGGCACCCUCCAGGUCAACCAGACUCCACAUCACUCGCAAUUAAGCUCGCACGGGUACCCUUCAGGGUCGACCCGUCUUUCCAAGUAACAGUGGUAAAGUCCAAGUAUCCGUGUGUCCAAACAUUAAGGGGAAAACCCGAGGAAUCACCCCCGGUGAAUUCCACUCGAUGCAAUCAUCAAGGUGAAUGUAAGAGGAUCCACCCUCGAGGUUCACACUUGAGGGGUUGCACGACAGAGCCGUAUCGGAAGUGGUUAAGGAAGAAAUCACCCUCGAUGACCACGACCGAAUAGCUACACUACAGGGUUAACAUCAGAAGUGUUGUAGAGGUCUCACCCUCGGCACUCAAUAGUAACUCUGCAGAGUCGAGCAACGAAGGGGCGUGAUGUGACGUGAGGUGUCGGGUCCUGGUCUUCGAUCCCGUUGAUUGGGUCUUCUGAUAAUCCAGCGGGGCAGUCGAGUCAAGUGGGGGGGCGUCACUGAUGGGUCUCUAACCAACCUAUACUAACAGUUUAGGAUAAGCAGGUAAGGUACAACAGUAGGUACAAAAGCAGGCUAUGCAUCAGAAUAGGUGCAAACAAUAACAGUAGCAAAAUCUAAUGCAAGCAUGAGAGAAUGGAAUGGGCGAUAUCGGGAUGAUCAAAGGGGGGGGCUUGCCUGGUUGCUCUGGCAAGGAGGGGUCGUCGUCGACGUAGUCGAUCACAGGGGCGGCAUCGGUCUCGGGGUCUACCGGAGAGAAGAGGGGGAAGAAACAGUAAAUAUAAAGCAGACAUAGCAUCACAAAGCNNNNNNNNNNACAGUUUAGGAUAAGCAGGUAAGGUACAACAGUAGGUACAAAAGCAGGCUAUGCAUCAGAAUAGGUGCAAACAAUAACAGUAGCAAAAUCUAAUGCAAGCAUGAGAGAAUGGAAUGGGCGAUAUCGGGAUGAUCAAAGGGGGGGGGGGCUUGCCUGGUUGCUCUAGCAAGGAGGGGUCAUCGUCGACGUAGUCGAUCACAGGGGCGGCAUCGGUCUCGGGGUCUACCGGAGAGAAGAGGGGGAAGAAACAGUAAAUAUAAAGCAGACAUAGCAUCACAAAGCGUAACAUGGCAAUAUGUUGUGCUGGGUGUGACCUAACGCAUGGCUACACGAUAUAGGUGAAGGGGGAAUUCAACCGGGAAUGUAUUCCCGGUUCCGGACCCUUGUCACACAGAUGACCGGAGGGGAAAUGUUCCAUGUUCAGCAUGCUAGAGGCAUGUGACAGCUGAACGGACUGCAUUUUCAGAUCCGUUGGGUUUUUCUGAGCAACUUUCAUAUAGAAAACAUUUUCAUCCGAGUUACGGUUUAUUUUCUAUGAAUUUUUAAAGUUUUAUUAAUAUUUGGAAAUUAUUUAUAUUAAUAGAAAUGGAAUAUGACGUCAGCAUGACAUAGGAGCGACGUCAGCAGUCAACAGUGCGGUUGACUGGUCAAAAUGACCAGUGGGGCCCACUUGUCAUGGACAGGGGCCUUAACAGUGUUUAUUAAAACUACUAUGAGGUUAAUUGGCAACUGGGCCCCACAUGUCAGUGUCUCAUUAAGUUAACUAAAUAUUUUAAAUAAAUAAAACAUUGAUUAAGGGAGUGGGGCCCGCAUGUCAGCGGCUGGGGCCUGCCCAGUCAGCACGGUUGACCAGGUCAACGUGGUUAGCUGGGGUCCGGGGACCCACGGGCAGCGACCUGGGGUGGACCCCACGCGGCGCCAGCUCAGCGGAGCCGCCGGAGUUGCUCCGAUGAGCCUCCCGCGGUGGCGCUCUCGCCGGAGGCGAUCGGAAAUCGCGUACGGGGCACCAAAUCGUGCGUUGCAACUUGCGUUAGAACGAGGAGAGUGCACCGCGUCCAUUUACGGCGGCGGCAGGGCCCGUAACUGGCUAGAACAACGACGACGAGAGGCCGGGCGGACGCCGGCAUUCGGCCGCGGUCGGAAACGAGGCUAGAGGGCACGGGGAGGCACGAGCUCAAGCUCGUUGGGCUCAUGGGAGCACGAGGAGCUCAUUGUCGUGUCCUGGUGAGCGCGACAAGGGCUAUGGCCACGGCGGCGAGGCGAUCCGCGGCGACGGGCUCACGGCAACGGCGUCGAGGUAGCUACGACGCACGAAGAGGCUAACGAAGGGGAGGAGGAGACGGAGAAGCUCACCGCGUGGCUCACACGUAGGCCCGUGACGGUUUAGGAGCUGCAGGCUUCGCCGUAAUCGACGACGACGCCGGCAGCCGAAGAGGAAGAAGACGACGGCGAUCUCGCGUUGCAGAGUUGAGGAGCUCCAACGGGCGGCACUAGUCGAUGAAGAGGGCGAUGGUGGACCUCGUAGACGUAUCGACGAGGUGCGGGUGCGGCGGUGGUCGCGGUGGGGCGAAGUGGCCGACGACGAGCGCGUCGUGGAGGUGGAGGGAAAGGGGAUCUGGGGAGAACCCAGAGGAAAGUGGGGCGAUAGAGGAGAGCAUGGGAGUGAGUGGGGCACAGGGGAGAGGACCGAGGCGUCUGGGUGUGGAGGCCUUAUCCUCCCCCUCGUCGUCGACGGCGAGGCGGUCCGGGGCGACCGCGCCCCUGUAGCGACGGGGUCGGUCGAACAGGGAAGGCGACCCAGGGUAAGGUGGGCCGGCUGGUCCGGAUGGGCCAAGGCCCAGGGAGGCAGGGGCUUCCUUUCCCCUUUUCAUUUUCUUUUUAAAACUUUUCUGUUUUCAUUUAACAGUAGCCUUUUGCAUUUUCUUUUGCAGUAAUUAUCUUUUGCAAAAAUGUGCCACGGGUGAAAACAAAUACUAGGGGCAGUGGUGCACUGCCACCAUAAGCUUGGGAUUUAUUUGAAUCCAUUUGGAAUUUUCAUAAUUGGAGUAGCAUUUUAAAAUGCUAGAAUUUGCACUGGAUUAAUUGCUACUGCUCAUUUUAGUAACAUAGUGAUGUUCUUUUUCUUAACAUCAAUUGUUUUGGAAUAUUUGCUAAGUAAUGAACAUUUUUCUAGCAAGUUUACGCAACUUCAAAUUUCACUUUGAAUUUGAAUAGAAUUCAGAGAAGGGAUUUGAGCUGAGAUAUUACCCCAACAUGAUUAAGCUUUGUAAAACAAGAUGACUUGGCACUGAUCAUAAGGGAUUGCUGUAGUGUGAUUCUGGGGAUGUUACAAAUCUCCUCCACUACAAGAAAUCUCGUCCUGAGAUUUAAGGGGGUGGAGUAAGGGGGGGGGAGACUCGGGAAGGGCGAAGCAAAGCACAAGAUAGGUGCCUAGGGGCUAUCUCAGUGAACAUGGCAUAGAGGCGCCUCUUGAGACGAAAUUCAAUAAAGUCGUCGAGAACAAGGUAAUGAGAUGCAAUAAGAAGCUUCAACUGGGUAGGCAAUCAUUUGUUGCCUGAAACAAGGGGGUGAAAGGGGUUUCAGAGCGACGGGGAUAUGUAUUGUGUCUGAUACCAGAAUUGGUGAUCUCACGGAAGGUGGCUAUGAUUUACAUACGAAACCAAGUGUGAUAAUUUUUUUUGAAACAGGGGGGUAUACAUGAGAGUCAGGUUUUGCUCCUGUGGAACUGUGGUUUAUGGACCCACCAUGUGGGUUAAAAGCAGGAAGGAGCUAACAUUUUGCACGGUCAUGAUAGCAAGGCAGGUCAGAGGAUAACCUGUCAGUUAUGUUGAUAACAACGUAGGUACCAAGGGCGAGGGACGAAGAGAACUAUUUUUCUGCUUGUUGAACGAGGCAGACCAAUAGGCAAAGUUCUCGUCCAUCGGUGGCUACCGGAAUGUUAUCAACAAUAGUAACAAGGUCUUGCUGACAGAGUCGCACGCCGAGGUGUUUACCUAAGCAGAGAAUUAACUCUGCUCUGAUAAGUUAGAUUACGAGAAUGGUUAAACAAACCGAUGGAAAGGAAAAUGUGAUUAUUAGUUUAACCAGGCCAAUGGAAAGGAAAAGGGUGCUUAUACAAAAGUAAUAGAGUAUAUGCUUCCCAAGAACAAACAGAGCAAGAUAUACAUGACAGGACAUCAAGUACUUAUCCAUUUAGUUAAUGGGGCAAUGAGAAUCAUGAUAUUACCCAUACAACGGUGUUUGGAUAAUAGAUCAAGAAACAUUCGGCAAUGUGCUUCCAAUGUUCUUGUUGAUAUUCGGAAUACCUCAGUCAUGCUUUGAGGUAGCAUUAACAUGGUGUUCCAAGUAGUGGUUUGAGUUGAAGAUCACAAUAAAUACUCAAGGAACAGUUUGAGUUGAAGAUCACAAGAAAUGCUCAAGGAACAAUUGCAGGAAUAGCAAGGAGUCCAAGGUAUAAUCAAGACAUGAUCAAAUAUGUGUUGGAAAGAAGACAAGGGGUUGUCGAUGACAACUCAAAUCAUCGAAGGUCAAGGAUGGUAAUUCUUAUCCGAAUUCGAUUGAUAUGCUGGAAGGGCUCAGAAUGUUGACGAGCACGACACAAUUGUGGAGAGAUUUUAGGAAGAUGUAAUCGAUCGGCGAUGACAUCAAGUCAAAUGAAUGAUCAAGUGAAAAGUUAUUGGAACCAUGGGUACGACACAAACUCGAAAGCAAGCUUGUUGUUCAAGGCGAAAAGAUAAGAUGAGGACGAUCGACGUAAGCUUCGCUCAUUGUCGAAAGUUGUGCUCCAGGAAUAAGGACCAGGUAGCACAGUUAAAAUUUAGCACGAUAAUGACAUAGCCUGCCAGGCUAGGAAUGACUAGAAGGAUUAUUAAACUCGUAAGCAAUGAAAAUUACUUAGAGUUAUAGAAUCGGAGUGCGGAAUCGAUUCAACCGAUUCACUUAUCGGUGUCCUCGAGUGAUUAAUAACUCAGAUCCCGGGGGAAAUCUAAAAUCGGUGAGAAGCAAUACUAGAUGAAGACUCAUAGGAAGCAACACGAUUCUUNNNNNNNNNNNNNNNNNNNNNNNNNNNNNNNNNNNNNNNNNNNNNNNNNNNNNNNNNNNNNNNNNNNNNNNNNNNNNNNNNNNNNNNNNNNNNNNNNNNNNNNNNNNNNNNNNNNNNNNNNNNNNNNNNNNNNNNNNNNNNNNNNNNNNNNNNNNNNNNNNNNNNNNNNNNNNNNNNNNNNNNNNNNNNNNNNNNNNNNNNNNNNNNNNNNNNNNNNNNNNNNNNNNNUGUAUCAGGGAAAAACUCACAAGACUUUGGAUGUGAAGGACAUUGUCGGAUAACAACCCAGCAAUGGAUCUGGCGAUUCACGACAGAGUUGAUGUGAGUAUCGGUAAUCAAUCAGAUGAAGAAGGGGAUGUAAAGGCAUCGGCUUAUAGAAACGUCUGAAUGAUUCGAUGCUUGGGUACAAAGGAAUUAUGUUUUCAAGACGAAGGAUCAGAAGCAGAGGCUCUGAUCAAAAGAUGAGUAAGUUGAAUAGACUUAGAGGUGUACCCGAUCAAAUCUAGAUUGGGCAAGAACCAGUUCAUAUCUCGAAGGAUGUCUGAGCCAGAAAGAAAAUUUCCAAGGAUUGAUUGAUGCUUGCGAGUAUUCGCACACACGCUGAAUCCAUAGGAACAAAAUGACAACCACCAAGAAUUUUAAAGAAUAUUGCUAGACAUAUGGAAUUAAUCCUAAUGCAAUCAAGAAAGGAGAAUCAACAGCAAUAGGUUGCAAAGGAUUUUGAAAGAUCAGAUAGCCUUUUCAGGUAUUAGGAAAGCAAAUGAACAACUAGGGAUGAACGAACCCCGGUUAAGUGAAUUAUCCGCAGUCCGAAAAGAAGCUGCAAAGCACAAGGCCACAAAGGAUUCUCGGAACAACGGAGAGUACUAGUGGUAUCUCGUAAUAACAGGAGCAACUAGGGAUAAAGGUACAAGCAGCAAGGAUGUUAUUCAGGGGGAUUAUCGGUGGUCAAGACCUGCAAGGCAGUUGGCACAGGGUCUCGAGAAACAUCGAGGAGUAUCCGCAGAAUCUUCUCGCGAAGCAAGCAAUCAUCGAUAAUGUUGGGGUUCUUCGGGAGGAAGUGGGUACGAGAACCUAAUGUCAGAAUUAGAAAAAUGUUUAACCCGAAUAGACGAGAGAUCAGAGUCCCAGAGUAUAGACGAGGAAUAAAAGAUCCUAAUACCACCCAAUGGCGAAAUGGGCCUGUAAGACACACAGCCAAUGUUAGUAAAAGUUUUUCAGUGACUAGACUCAACUUCAGCCAAGGAGUUGGAAAGGGGGCUACCUACAGGCAGUCGGCUCUGAUACCAACUUGUGACGCCCUCGAUUCAAUCGUACACUAAUUAUACACGCAAAUGUGUACGAUCAAGAUCAAGGACUCACGGGAAGAUAUCACAACACAACUCUAGACACAAGUUAAAAUAAUACAAGCUUUAUAUUACAAGCCAGGGGCCUCGAGGGCUCGAAUACAUAAGCUCGAAUACACAAGAGUCAGCGGAAGCAACAAUAUCUGAGUACAGACAUGAGUUAAACAAGUUUGCCUUAAAAAGGCUAGCACAAAAGCAACAUUGAUCGAAAAGGCAAGGCCUCCUGCCUGGGAGCCUCCUAACUACUCCUGGUCGUCGGCGUCCGUCACGUGGUAGUAGGCACCCUCGGGGUAGUAGCAGUCGUCGGUGGUGUCGCCUGGCUCCUGGGCUCCACCAUCUGGUUGCAGCAUCCGAGAAGAAUGGAAAGAGGUGGAAAAAAGGGAGCAAAGCAACCGUGAGUACUCAUCCAAAGUACUCGCAAGCAAGGAACUACACUAUAUAUGCAACAUUAUCAAAGGAAGGCUGUAUAUGUGGACUGGGCUCCAGAAAUGCCAGAAUAGAGAGAAGGCCUAGUCCUAUCGAAGACUAGCAUCUUCUCGAACCCACCAUCUUGCAGGAACAGGAGGGAAUAGAGUAGCAUAAAGUAAAGUAGCAGUGGUGUUAUCAACCUCGGACGGAGAUCCUUUCUCGACUCCCUGCGAGAAAGAAAUCCUAGAGCCAUACUAUCCAGUUAUCAUCACAAUCAAAUCCUCAUCACCAUCCAGUUCUCAUCACAAGUAUCCAGUUCUAGUUGUAUCGAUCGGGAUACAACUCCAAGUGUCCGUUACCGUAGGACAGGCUAUCGAUAGAUGUUUUCUUCCCUGCAGGGGUGCACCAACUUACCCACCACGCUCGCUUAACUCCGGCCGGACACACUUUCCAGGGUCAUGCCCGGCCUCGGNNNNNNNNNNNNNNNNNNNNNNNNNNNNNNNNNNNNNNNNNNNNNNNNNNNNNNNNNNNNNNNNNNNNNNNNNNNNNNNNNNNNNNNNNNNNNNNNNNNNNNNNNNNNNNNNNNNNNNNNNNNNNNNNNNNNNNNNNNNNNNNNNNNNNNNNNNNNNNNNNNNNNNNNNNNNNNNNNNNNNNNNNNNNNNNNNNNNNNNNNNNNNNNNNNNNNNNNNNNNNNNNNNNNNNNNNNNNNNNNNNNNNNNNNNNNNNNNNNNNNNNNNNNNNNNNNNNNNNNNNNNNNNNNNNNNNNNNNNNNNNNNNNNNNNNNNNNNNNNNNNNNNNNNNNNNCAGAACGCCCAUACUAUGCCCACGUGAUGGUUAGUGCUAUCAGGCCAGAGGCCCCUCGGAUCAAAUAUCCAAAUCGUAGUGGAUUAGGAACGCGCGGUAACAAGCAGAGACUCACGAAAGAUGUGACCCCGUUGCCCCGUCUCAAGGACUUGCGGCAAGGGCUAGGAAUGCCCGGCCACGCCUCGUAAUUAUCUCGCGGGCACCCUCCAGGUCAACCCGACUCCACAUCACUCGCAAUUAAGCUCGCGCGGGUACCCCUCAGGGUCGACCCGUCUUUCCAAGUAACAGUGGUAAAGUCCAAGUAUCCGUGUGUCCAAACAUUAAGGGGAAAACCCGAGGAAUCACCCCCGGUGAAUUCCACUCGAUGUAAUCAUCAAGGUGAACGUAAGAGGAUCCACCCUCGAGGUUCACACUUGAGGGGUUGCACGACAGAGCCGUAUCGGAAGUGGUUAAGGAGGAAAUCACCCUCGAUGACCACGACCGAAUAGCUACACUACAGGGUUAACAUCAGAAGUGCUGUAGAGGUCUCACCCUUGGCACUCAAUAGUAACACUGCUUGCUCGAGCAAUGAAGGGGCGUGAUGUGACGUGAGGUGUCGGGUCCUGGUCUUCGAUCCCGUUGAUUGGGUCUUCUGAUAAUCCAGCGGGGCAGUCGAGUCAAGUGGGGGGGCGUCACUGAUGGGUCUCUAACCAACCUAUACUAACAGUUUAGGAUAAGCAGGUAAGGUACAACAGUAGGUACAAAAGCAGGCUAUGCAUCAGAAUAGGUGCAAACAAUAACAGUAGCAAAAUCUAAUGCAAGCAUGAGAGAAUGGAAUGGGCGAUAUCGGGAUGAUCAAAGGGGGGGGCUUGCCUGGUUGCUCUGGCAAGGAGGGGUCGUCGUCGACGUAGUCGAUCACAGGGGCGGCAUCGGUCUCGGGGUCUACCGGAGAGAAGAGGGGGAAGAAACAGUAAAUAUAAAGCAGACAUAGCAUCACAAAGCAUAACAUGGCAAUAUGUUGUGCUGGGUGUGACCUAACGCAUGGCUACACGAUAUAGGUGAAGGGGGAAUUCAACCGGGAAUGUAUUCCCGGUUCCGGACCCGUGUCACACAGAUGACCGGAGGGGAAAUAUUCCAUGUUCAGCAUGCUAGAGGCAUGUGACAGCUGAACGGACUGCAUUUUCAGAUCCGUUGGGUUUUUCUGAGCAACUUUCAUAUAGAAAACAUUUUCAUCCGAGUUACGGUUUAUUUUCUAUGAAUUUUUAAAGUUUUAUUAAUAUUCGGAAAUUAUUUAUAUUAAUAGAAAUGGAAUAUGACGUCAGCAUGACAUAGGAGCGACGUCAACAGUCAACAGUGCGGUUGAUUGGUCAAAAUGACCAGUGGGGCCCACUUGUCAUGGACAGGGGCCUUAACAGUGUUUAUUAAAACUACUAUGAGGUUAAUUGGCAACCGAGCCCCACAUGUCAGUGUCUCAUUAAGUUAACUAAAUAUUUUAAAUAAAUAAAACAUUGAUUAAGGGAGUGGGGCCCGCAUGUCAGCGGCUGGGGCCUGCCCAGUCAGCACGGUUGACCAGGUCAACGUGGUUAGCUGGGGUCCGGGGACCCACGGGCAGCGACCUGGGGUGGACCCCACGCGGCGCCAGCUCAGCGGAGCCGCCGGAGUUGCUCCGAUGAGCCUCCCGCGGUGGCGCUCUCGCCGGAGGCGAUCGGAAAUCGCGUACGGGGCACCAAAUCGUGCGUUGCAACUUGCGUUAGAACGAGGAGAGCGCACCGCAUCCAUUUACGGCGGCGGCGUGGCCCGUAACUGGCUAGAACAACGACGACGAGAGGCCGGGCGGACGCCGGCAUUCGGCCGCGGUCGAAAACGAGGCUAGAGGGCACGGGGAGGCACGAGCUCGAGCUCGUUGGGCUCAUGGGAGCACGAGGAGCUCGUUGCCGUGUCCUGGUGAGCGCGACAAGGGCUAUGGCCACGGCGGCGAGGCGAUCUGCGGCGACGGGCUCACGGCAACGGCGUCGAGGUAGCUACGACGCAUGAAGAGGCUAACAAAGGGGAGCAGGAGACGGAGAAGCUCACCGAGUGGCUCACACGUAGGCCCGUGACGGUUUAGGAGCUGCAGGCUUCGCCGUAAUCGACGACGACGCCGGCAACCGAAGAGGAAGAAGACGACGGUGAUCUCGCGUUGCAGAGUUGAGGAGCUCCAACGGGCGGCACUAGUCGAUGAAGAGGGCGAUGGUGGACCUCGUAGACGUAUCGACGAGGUGCGGGUGCGGCGGUGGUCGCGGUGGGGCGAAGUGGCCGACGACGAGCGCGUCGUGGAGGUGGAGGGAAAGGGGAUCUGGGGAGAACCCAGAGGAAAGUGGGGCGAUAGAGGAGAGCAUGGGAGUGAGUGGGGCACAGGGGAGAGGACCGAGGCGUCUGGGUGUGGAGGCCUUAUCCUCCCCCUCGUCGUCGACGGCGAGGCGGUCCGGGGCGACCGCGCCCCUGUAGCGACGGGGUCGGUCGAACAGGGAAGGCGACCCGGGGUAAGGUGGGCCGGCUGGUCCGGAUGGGCCAAGGCCCAGGGAGGCAGGGGCUUCCUUUCCCCUUUUCGUUUUCUUUUUAAAACUUUUCUGUUUUCAUUUAACAGUAGCCUUUUGCAUUUUUUUUGCAGUAAUUAUCUUUUGCAAAAAUGUGCCACUGGUGAAAACAAAUACUAGGGGCAGUGGUGCACUGCCACCAUAAGCUUGGGAUUUAUUUGAAUCCAUUUGGAAUUUUCAUAAUUGGAGUAGCAUUUUAAAAUGCUAGAAUUUGCACUGGAUUAAUUGCUACUGCUCAUUUUAGUAACAUAGUGAUGUUCUUUUUCUUAACAUCAAUUGUUUUGGAAUAUUUGCUAAGUAAUGAACAUUUUUCCAGCAAGUUUACGCAACUUCAAAUUUCACUUUGAAUUUGAAUAGAAUUCAGAGAAGGGAUUUGAGCUGAGAUAUUACCCCAACAUGAUUAAGCUUUGUAAAACAAGAUGACUUGGCACUGAUCAUAAGGGAUUGCUGUAGUGUGAUUAUGGGGAUGUUACAAAUCUCCUCCACUACAAGAAAUCUCGUCCUGAGAUUUAAGGGGGUGGAGUAAGGGGGGGAGACUCGGGAAGGGCGAAGCAAAGCACAAGAUAGGUGCCUAGGGGCUAUCUCAGUGAACAUGGCAUAGAGGCGCCUCUUGAGAAGAAAUUCAAUAAAGUCGUCGAGAACAAGGUAAUGAGAUGCAAUAAGAAGCUUCAACUGGGUAGGCAAUCAUUUGUUGCCUGAAACAAGGGGGUGAAAGGGGUUUCAGAGCGACGGGGAUAUGUAUUGUGUCUGAUACCAGAAUUGGUGAUCUCACGGAAGGUGGCUAUGAUUUACAUACGAAACCAAGUGUGAUAAUUUUUUUUGAAACAGGGGGGUAUACAUGAGAGUCAGGUUUUGCUCCUGUGGAACUGUGGUUUAUGGACCCACCAUGUGGGUUAAAAGCAGGAAGGAGCUAACAUUUUGCACGGUCAUGAUAGCAAGGCAGGUCAGAGGAUAACCUGUCAGUUAUGUUGAUAACAACGUAGGUACCAAGGGCGAGGGACGAAGAGAACUAUUUUUCUGCUCGUUGAACGAGGCGGACCAAUAGGCAAAGUUCUCGUCCAUCGGUGGCUACCGGAAUGUUAUCAACAAUAGUAACAAGGUCUUGCUGACAGAGUCGCACGCCGAGGUGUUUACCUAAGCAGAGAAUUAACUCUGCUCUGAUAAGUUAGAUUACGAGAAUGGUUAAACAAACCGAUGGAAAGGAAAAUGUGAUUAUUAGUUUAACCAGGCCAAUGGAAAGGAAAAGGGUGCUUAUACAAAAGUAAUAGAGUAUAUGCUUCCCAAGAACAAACAGAGCAAGAUAUACAUGACAGGACAUCAAGUACUUAUCCAUUUAGUUAAUGGGGCAAUGAGAAUCAUGAUAUUACCCAUACAACGAUGUUUGGAUAAUAGAUCAAGAAACAUUCGGCAAUGUGCUUCCAAUGUUCUUGUUGAUAUUCGGAAUACCUCGGUCAUGCUUUGAGGUAGCAUUAACAUGGUGUUCCAAGUAGUGGUUUGAGUUGAAGAUCACAAUAAAUACUCAAGGAACAGUUUGAGUUGAAGAUCACAAGAAAUGCUCAAGGAACAAUUGCAGGAAUAGCAAGGAGUCCAAGGUAUAAUCAAGACAUGAUCAAAUAUGUGUUGGAAAGAAGACAAGGGGUUGUCGAUGACAACUCAAAUCAUCGAAGGUCAAGGAUGGUAAUUCUUAUCCGAAUUCGAUUGAUAUGCUGGAAGGGCUCAGAAUGUUGACGAGCACGACACAAUUGUGGAGAGAUUUUAGGAAGAUGUAAUCGAUCGGCGAUGACAUCAAGUCAAAUGAAUGAUCAAGUGAAAAGUUAUUGGAACCAUGGGUACGACACAAACUCGAAAGCAAGCUUGUUGUUCAAGGCGAAAAGAUAAGAUGAGGACGAUCGACGUAAGCUUCGCUCAUUGUCGAAAGUUGUGCUCCAGGAAUAAGGACCAGGUAGCACAGUUAAAAUUUAGCACGAUAAUGACAUAGCCUGCCAGGCUAGGAAUGACUAGAAGGAUUAUUAAACUCGUAAGCAAUGAAAAUUACUUAGAGUUAUAGAAUCGGAGUGCGGAAUCGAUUCAACCGAUUCACUUAUCGGUGUCCUCGAGUGAUUAAUAACUCAGAUCCCGGGGGAAAUCUAAAAUCGGUGAGAAGCAAUACUAGAUGAAGACUCAUAGGAAGCAACACGAUUCUUUGAUAUUCUCGAGAUACCGGAGGGUAAUACUUGAAGGAAGAUCAAAAUAGAGGUUGUGGAGUUGCAUUGAUCUGCAGAAGACAAGUGCGUGAACUUGUCCGAGAAAUGGAAUCGAAGGGGAACAAUCAUGGUCAGAACCACGGUUGCAAAGGACCAAGCAUAGAUACCAGAUGAACUUAUAACAAGGGGAUUAUUAUUAUCACAAGAAGCUUCCAUGAUAAGUGCCACAUCGGGUCCAUGGGCAUGAACACAAAGUUCAAGGUCGACUCCCACUUCUUCAAUGCAUAACCUUUCAUUCACUCCUCGUUUUUUGAAGAAAUUGUAGUGCAGAGGAUUUAUCUGCCGGAGUACCAGAAGAGUAAGACUCGGGAGAACUCUCGGGUUCACACAGAUUAUGGAAGGCAUAAGUUCAAUCCAUCGGGGCAUUUUUACGAAUCUAUACAACAAAAAGCCAAGCAAAAGAUAUGAGUUCAAAAGUAGAGUAUCGGAGUCAAAGCAGAUGAUACAAUUUACCGAAGGUAUUGUGUAUCAGGGAAAAACUCACAAGACUUUGGAUGUGAAGGACAUUGUCGGAUAACAACCCAGCAAUGGAUCUGGCGAUUCACGACAGAGUUGAUGUGAGUAUCGGUAAUCAAUCAGAUGAAGAAGGGGAUGUAAAGGCAUCGGCUUAUAGAAACGUCUGAAUGAUUCGAUGCUUGGGUACAAAGGAAUUAUGUUUUCAAGACGAAGGAUCAGAAGCAGAGGCUCUGAUCAAAAGAUGAGUAAGUUGAAUAGACUUAGAGGUGUACCCGAUCAAAUCUAGAUUGGGCAAGAACCAGUUCAUAUCUCGAAGGAUGUCUGAGCCAGAAAGAAAAUUUCCAAGGAUUGAUUGAUGCUUGCGAGUAUUCGCACACACGCUGAAUCCAUAGGAACAAAAUGACAACCACCAAGAAUUUUAAAGAAUAUUGCUAGACAUAUGGAAUUAAUCCUAAUGCAAUCAAGAAAGGAGAAUCAACAGCAAUAGGUUGCAAAGGAUUUUGAAAGAUCAGAUAGCCUUUUCAGGUAUUAGGAAAGCAAAUGAACAACUAGGGAUGAACGAACCCCGGUUAAGUGAAUUAUCCGCAGUCCGAAAAGAAGCUGCAAAGCACAAGGCCACAAAGGAUUCUCGGAACAACGGAGAGUACUAGUGGUAUCUCGUAAUAACAGGAGCAACUAGGGAUAAAGGUACAAGCAGCAAGGAUGUUAUUCAGGGGGAUUAUCGGUGGUCAAGACCUGCAAGGCAGUUGGCACAGGGUCUCGAGAAACAUCGAGGAGUAUCCGCAGAAUCUUCUCGCGAAGCAAGCAAUCAUCGAUAAUGUUGGGGUUCUUCGGGAGGAAGUGGGUACGAGAACCUAAUGUCAGAAUUAGAAAAAUGUUUAACCCGAAUAGACGAGAGAUCAGAGUCCCAGAGUAUAGACGAGGAAUAAAAGAUCCUAAUACCACCCAAUGGCGAAAUGGGCCUGUAAGACACACAGCCAAUGUUAGUAAAAGUUUUUCAGUGACUAGACUCAACUUCAGCCAAGGAGUUGGAAAGGGGGCUACCUACAGGCAGUCGGCUCUGAUACCAACUUGUGACGCCCUCGAUUCAAUCGUACACUAAUUAUACACGCAAAUGUGUACGAUCAAGAUCAAGGACUCACGGGAAGAUAUCACAACACAACUCUAGACACAAGUUAAAAUAAUACAAGCUUUAUAUUACAAGCCAGGGGCCUCGAGGGCUCGAAUACAUAAGCUCGAAUACACAAGAGUCAGCGGAAGCAACAAUAUCUGAGUACAGACAUGAGUUAAACAAGUUUGCCUUAAAAAGGCUAGCACAAAAGCAACAUUGAUCGAAAAGGCAAGGCCUCCUGCCUGGGAGCCUCCUAACUACUCCUGGUCGUCGGCGUCCGUCACGUGGUAGUAGGCACCCUCGGGGUAGUAGCAGUCGUCGGUGGUGUCGCCUGGCUCCUGGGCUCCACCAUCUGGUUGCAGCAUCCGAGAAGAAUGGAAAGAGGUGGAAAAAAGGGAGCAAAGCAACCGUGAGUACUCAUCCAAAGUACUCGCAAGCAAGGAACUACACUAUAUAUGCAACAUUAUCAAAGGAAGGCUGUAUAUGUGGACUGGGCUCCAGAAAUGCCAGAAUAGAGAGAAGGCCUAGUCCUAUCGAAGACUAGCAUCUUCUCGAACCCACCAUCUUGCAGGAACAGGAGGGAAUAGAGUAGCAUAAAGUAAAGUAGCAGUGGUGUUAUCAACCUCGGACGGAGAUCCUUUCUCGACUCCCUGCGAGAAAGAAAUCCUAGAGCCAUACUAUCCAGUUAUCAUCACAAUCAAAUCCUCAUCACCAUCCAGUUCUCAUCACAAGUAUCCAGUUCUAGUUGUAUCGAUCGGGAUACAACUCCAAGUGUCCGUUACCGUAGGACAGGCUAUCGAUAGAUGUUUUCUUCCCUGCAGGGGUGCACCAACUUACCCACCACGCUCGCUUAACUCCGGCCGGACACACUUUCCAGGGUCAUGCCCGGCCUCGGUCAAACAAUACGCCGCAACCCGACCUAGGCUUAAUAGAGAGGCCAGCACGCCGGACUAAACCUAUGCCCCCAGGGGUCAUGGGCCAUCUCCCCGGGAACUCCUGCACGUUGCGAGGGCGGUCGGUGAGCAGACCUAGCUACCUCCUUCAACAAGGCAGGCGCUUACGCAGUCCAACCCGGCGCGCGCCGCUCAGUCGCUGAUGUCUAUUAAGCUUCGGCUGAUGUAUACGACGCAGAACGCCCAUACUAUGCCCACGUGAUGGUUAGUGCUAUCAGGCCAGAGGCCCCUCGGAUCAAAUAUCCAAAUCGUAGUGGAUUAGAAACGCGCGGUAACAAGCAGAGACUCACGAAAGAUGUGACCCCGUUGCCCCGUCUCAAGGACUUGCGGCAAGGGCUAGGAAUGCCCGGCCACGCCUCGUAAUUAUCUCGCGGGCACCCUCCAGGUCAACCCGACUCCACAUCACUCGCAAUUAAGCUCGCGCGGGUACCCCUCAGGGUCGACCCGUCUUUCCAAGUAACAGUGGUAAAGUCCAAGUAUCCGUGUGUCCAAACAUUAAGGGGAAAACCCGAGGAAUCACCCCCGGUGAAUUCCACUCGAUGUAAUCAUCAAGGUGAACGUAAGAGGAUCCACCCUCGAGGUUCACACUUGAGGGGUUGCACGACAGAGCCGUAUCGGAAGUGGUUAAGGAGGAAAUCACCCUCGAUGACCACGACCGAAUAGCUACACUACAGGGUUAACAUCAGAAGUGUUGUAGAGGUCUCACCCUCGGCACUCAAUAGUAACACUGCUUGCUCGAGCAACGAAGGGGCGUGAUGUGACGUGAGGUGUCGGGUCCUGGUCUUCGAUCCCGUUGAUUGGGUCUUCUGAUAAUCCAGCGGGGCAGUCGAGUCAAGUGGGGGGGGGUCACUGAUGGGUCUCUAACCAACCUAUACUAAGCAGUUUAGGAUAAGCAGGUAAGGUACAACAGUAGGUACAAAAGCAGGCUAUGCAUCACUAUAGGUGCAAAUAAUAACAGUAGCAAAAUCUAAUGCAAGCAUGAGAGAAUGGAAUGGGCGAUAUCGGGAUGAUCAAAGGGGGGGGCUUGCCUGGUUGCUCUGGCAAGGAGGGGUCGUCGUCGACGUAGUCGAUCACAGGGGCGGCAUCGGUCUCGGGGUCUACCGGAGAGAAGAGGGGGAAGAAACAGUAAAUAUAAAGCAGACAUAGCAUCACAAAGCGUAACAUGGCAAUAUGUUGUGCUGGGUGUGACCUAACGCAUGGCUACACGAUAUAGGUGAAGGGGGAAUUCAACCGGGAAUGUAUUCCCGGUUCCGGACCCGUGUCACACAGAUGACCGGAGGGAAAAUGUUCCAUGUUCAGCAUGCUAGAGGCAUGUGACAGCUGAACGGACCGCAUUUUCAGAUUCGUUGGGUUUUUCUGAGCAACUUUCAUAUAGAAAACAUUUUCAUCCGAGUUACGAUUUAUUUUCUAUGAAUUUUUAAAGUUUUAUUAAUAUUUGGAAAUUAUUUAUAUUAACAGAAAUGGAAUAUGACGUCAACAUGACGUAGGAGCGACGUCAGCAGUCAACAGUGCGGUUGAUUGGUCAAAAUGACCAGUGGGGCCCACUUGUCAUGGACAGGGGCCUUAACAGUGUUUAUUAAAACUACUAUGAGGUUAAUUGGCAACUGGGCCCCACAUGUCAGUGUCUCAUUAAGUUAACUAAAUAUUUUAAAUAAAUAAAACAUUGAUUAAGGGAGUGGGGCCCGCAUGUCAGCGGCUGGGGCCUGCCCAGUCAGCACGGUUGACCAGGUCAACGUGGUUAGCUGGGGUCCGGGGACCCACGGGCAGCGACCUGGGGUGGACCCCACGCGGCGCCAGCUCAGCAGAGCCGCCGGAGUUGCUCCGAUGAGCCUCCCGCGGUGGCGCUCUCGCCGGAGGCGAUCGGAAACCGCGUACGAGGCACCAAAUCGUGCGUUGCAACUUGCGUUAGAACGAGGAGAGCACACCGCGUCCAUUUACGGCGGCGGCGCGGCCCGUAACUGGCUAGAACAACGACGACGAGAGGCCGGGCGGACGCCGGCAUUCGGCCGCGGUCGGAAACGAGGCUAGAGGGCACGGGGAGGCACGAGCUCGAGCUCGUUGGGCUCAUGGGAGCAUGAGGAGCUCGUUGUCGUGUCCUGGUGAGCGCGACAGGGGCUAUGGCCACGGCGGCGAGGCGAUCCGCGGCGACGGGCUCACGGCAACGGCGUCGAGGUAGCUACGACGGACGAAGAGGCUAACGAAGGGGAGCAGGAGACGGAGAAGCUCACCGCGUGGCUCACACGUAGGCCCGUGACGGUUUAGGAGCUGCAGGCUUCGCCGUAAUCGACGACGACGCCGGCAACCGAAGAGGAAGAAGACGACGGCGAUCUCGCGUUGCAGAGUUGAGGAGCUCCAACGGGCGGCACUAGUCGAUGGAGAGGGCGAUGGUGGACCUCGUAGACGUAUCGACGAGGUGCGGGUGCGGCGGUGGUCGCGGUGGGGCGAAGUGGCCGGCGACGAGCGCGUCGUGGAGGUGGAGGGAAAGGGGAUUUGGGGAGAACCCAGAGGAAAGUGGGGCGAUAGAGGAGAGCAUGGGAGUGAGUGGGGCACAAGGGAGAGGACCGAGGCGUCUGGGUGUGGAGGCCUUAUCCUCCCCCUCGUCGUCGACGGCGAGGCGGUCCGGGGCGACCGCGCCCCUGUAGCGACGGGGUCGGUCGAACAGGGAAGGCGACCCGGGGUAAGGUGGGCCGGCUGGUCCGGAUGGGCCAAGGCCCAGGGAGGCAGGGGCUUCCUUUCCCCUUUUCGUUUUCUUUUUAAAACUUUUCUGUUUUCAUUUAACAGUAGCCUUUUGCAUUUUUUUUGCAGUAAUUAUCUUUUGCAAAAAUGUGCCACUGGUGAAAACAAAUACUAUGGGCAGUGGUGCACUGCCACCAUAAGCUUGGGAUUUAUUUGAAUCCAUUUGGAAUUUUCAUAAUUGGAGUAGCAUUUUAAAAUGCUAGAAUUUGCACUGGAUUAAUUGCUACUGCUCAUUUUAGUAACAUAGUGAUGUUCUUUUUCUUAACAUCAAUUGUUUUGGAAUAUUUGCUAAAUGAUGAACAUUUUUCCAGCAAGUUUACGCAACUUCAAAUUUCACUUUGAAUUUGAAUAGAAUUCAGAGAAGGGAUUUGAGCUGAGAUAUUACCCCAACAUGAUUAAGCUUUGUAAAACAAGAUGACUUGGCACUGAUCAUAAGGGAUUGCUGUAGUGUGAUUCUGGGGAUGUUACAAAUCUCCUCCGCUACAAGAAAUCUCGUCCUGAGAUUUAAGGGGGUGGAGUAAGGGGGGAGACUCGGGAAGGGCGAAGCAAAGCACAAGAUAGGUGCCUAGGGGCUAUCUUAGUGAACAUGGCAUAGAGGCGCCUCUUGAGACGAAAUUCAAUAAAGUCGUCGAGAACAAGGUAAUGAGAUGCAAUAAGAAGCUUCAACUGGGUAGGCAAUCAUUUGUUUCCUGAAACAAGGGGGUGAAAGGGGUUUCAGAGCGACGGGGAUAUGUAUUGUGUCUGAUACCAGAAUUGGUGAUCUCACGGAAGGUGGCUAUGAUUUACAUACGAAACCAAGUGUGAUAAUUUUUUUUGAAACAGGGGGGUAUACAUGAGAGUCAGGUUUUGCUCCUGUGGAACUGUGGUUUAUGGACCCACCAUGUGGGUUAAAAGCAGGAAGGAGCUAACAUUUUGCACGGUCAUGAUAGCAAGGCAGGUCAGAGGAUAACCUGUCAGUUAUGUUGAUAACAACGUAGGUACCAAGGGCGAGGGACGAAGAGAACUAUUUUUCUGCUCGUUGAACGAGGCGGACCAAUAGGCAAAGUUCUCGUCCAUCGGUGGCUACCGGAAUGUUAUCAACAAUAGUAACAAGGUCUUGCUGACAGAGUCGCACGCCGAGGUGUUUACCUAAGCAGAGAAUUAACUCUGCUCUGAUAAGUUAGAUUACGAGAAUGGUUAAACAAACCGAUGGAAAGGAAAAUGUGAUUAUUAGUUUAACCAGGCCAAUGGAAAGGAAAAGGGUGCUUAUACAAAAGUAAUAGAGUAUAUGCUUCCCAAGAACAAACAGAGCAAGAUAUACAUGACAGGACAUCAAGUACUUAUCCAUUUAGUUAAUGGGGCAAUGAGAAUCAUGAUAUUACCCAUACAACGGUGUUUGGAUAAUAGAUCAAGAAACAUUCGGCAAUGUGCUUCCAAUGUUCUUGUUGAUAUUCGGAAUACCUCAGUCAUGCUUUGAGGUAGCAUUAACAUGGUGUUCCAAGUAGUGGUUUGAGUUGAAGAUCACAAUAAAUACUCAAGGAACAGUUUGAGUUGAAGAUCACAAGAAAUGCUCAAGGAACAAUUGCAGGAAUAGCAAGGAGUCCAAGGUAUAAUCAAGACAUGAUCAAAUAUGUGUUGGAAAGAAGACAAGGGGUUGUCGAUGACAACUCAAAUCAUCGAAGGUCAAGGAUGGUAAUUCUUAUCCGAAUUCGAUUGAUAUGCUGGAAGGGCUCAGAAUGUUGACGAGCACGACACAAUUGUGGAGAGAUUUUAGGAAGAUGUAAUCGAUCGGCGAUGACAUCAAGUCAAAUGAAUGAUCAAGUGAAAAGUUAUUGGAACCAUGGGUACGACACAAACUCGAAAGCAAGCUUGUUGUUCAAGGCGAAAAGAUAAGAUGAGGACGAUCGACGUAAGCUUCGCUCAUUGUCGAAAGUUGUGCUCCAGGAAUAAGGACCAGGUAGCACAGUUAAAAUUUAGCACGAUAAUGACAUAGCCUGCCAGGCUAGGAAUGACUAGAAGGAUUAUUAAACUCGUAAGCAAUGAAAAUUACUUAGAGUUAUAGAAUCGGAGUGCGGAAUCGAUUCAACCGAUUCACUUAUCGGUGUCCUCGAGUGAUUAAUAACUCAGAUCCCGGGGGAAAUCUAAAAUCGGUGAGAAGCAAUACUAGAUGAAGACUCAUAGGAAGCAACACGAUUCUUNNNNNNNNNNAGAUACCGGAGGGUAAUACUUGAAGGAAGAUCAAAAUAGAGGUUGUGGAGUUGCAUUGAUCUGCAGAAGACAAGUGCGUGAACUUGUCCGAGAAAUGGAAUCGAAGGGGAACAAUCAUGGUCAGAACCACGGUUGCAAAGGACCAAGCAUAGAUACCAGAUGAACUUAUAACAAGGGGAUUAUUAUUAUCACAAGAAGCUUCCAUGAUAAGUGCCACAUCGGGUCCAUGGGCAUGAACACAAAGUUCAAGGUCGACUCCCACUUCUUCAAUGCAUAACCUUUCAUUCACUCCUCGUUUUUUGAAGAAAUUGUAGUGCAGAGGAUUUAUCUGCCGGAGUACCAGAAGAGUAAGACUCGGGAGAACUCUCGGGUUCACACAGAUUAUGGAAGGCAUAAGUUCAAUCCAUCGGGGCAUUUUUACGAAUCUAUACAACAAAAAGCCAAGCAAAAGAUAUGAGUUCAAAAGUAGAGUAUCGGAGUCAAAGCAGAUGAUACAAUUUACCGAAGGUAUUAUGUAUCAGGGAAAAACUCACAAGACUUUGGAUGUGAAGGACAUUGUCGGAUAACAACCCAGCAAUGGAUCUGGCGAUUCACGACAGAGUUGAUGUGAGUAUCGGUAAUCAAUCAGAUGAAGAAGGGGAUGUAAAGGCAUCGGCUUAUAGAAACGUCUGAAUGAUUCGAUGCUUGGGUACAAAGGAAUUAUGUUUUCAAGACAAAGGAUCAGAAGCAGAGGCUCUGAUCAAAAGAUGAGUAAGUUGAAUAGACUUAGAGGUGUACCCGAUCAAAUCUAGAUUGGGCAAGAACCAGUUCAUAUCUCGAAGGAUGUCUGAGCCAGAAAGAAAAUUUCCAAGGAUUGAUUGAUGCUUGCGAGUAUUCGCACACACGCUGAAUCCAUAGGAACAAAAUGACAACCACCAAGAAUUUUAAAGAAUAUUGCUAGACAUAUGGAAUUAAUCCUAAUGCAAUCAAGAAAGGAGAAUCAAGAGCAAUAGGUUGCAAAGGAUUUUGAAAGAUCAGAUAGCCUUUUCAGGUAUUAGGAAAGCAAAUGAACAACUAGGGAUGAACGAACCCCGGUUAAGUGAAUUAUCCGCAGUCCGAAAAGAAGCUGCAAAGCACAAGGCCACAAAGGAUUCUCGGAACAACGGAGAGUACUAGUGGUAUCUCGUAAUAACAGGAGCAACUAGGGAUAAAGGUACAAGCAGCAAGGAUGUUAUUCAGGGGGAUUAUCGGUGGUCAAGACCUGCAAGGCAGUUGGCACAGGGUCUCGAGAAACAUCGAGGAGUAUCCGCAGAAUCUUCUCGCGAAGCAAGCAAUCAUCGAUAAUGUUGGGGUUCUUCGGGAGGAAGUGGGUACGAGAACCUAAUGUCAGAAUUAGUAAAAUGUUUAACCCGAAUAGACGAGAGAUCAGAGUCCCAGAGUAUAGACGAGGAAUAAAAGAUCCUAAUACCACCCAAUGGCGAAAUGGGCCUGUAAGACACACAGCCAAUGUUAGUAAAAAAAUUUCAGUGACUAGACUCAACUUCAGCCAAGGAGUUGGAAAGGGGGCUACCUACAGGCAGUCGGCUUUGAUACCAACUUGUGACGCCCUCGAUUCAAUCGUACACUAAUUAUACACGCAAAUGUGUACGAUCAAGAUCAAGGACUCACGGGAAGAUAUCACAACACAACUCUAGACACAAGUUAAAAUAAUACAAGCUUUAUAUUACAAGCCAGGGGCCUCGAGGGCUCGAAUACAUAAGCUCGAAUACACAAGAGUCAGCGGAAGCAACAAUAUCUGAGUACAGACAUGAGUUAAACAAGUUUGCCUUAAGAAGGCUAGCACAAAAGCAACAUUGAUCGAAAAGGCAAGGCCUCCUGCCUGGGAGCCUCCUAACUACUCCUGGUCGUCGGCGUCCGUCACGUGGUAGUAGGCACCCUCGGGGUAGUAGCAGUCGUCGGUGGUGUCGCCUGGCUCCUGGGCUCCACCAUCUGGUUGCAGCAUCCGAGAAGAAUGGAAAGAGGUGGAAAAAAGGGAGCAAAGCAACCGUGAGUACUCAUCCAAAGUACUCGCAAGCAAGGAACUACACUAUAUAUGCAACAUUAUCAAAGGAAGGCUGUAUAUGUGGACUGGGCUGCAGAAAUGCCAGAAUAGAGAGAAGGCCUAGUCCUAUCGAAGACUAGCAUCUUCUCGAACCCACCAUCUUGCAGGAACAGGAGGGAGUAGAGUAGCAUAAAGUAAAGUAGCAGUGGUGUUAUCAACCUCGGACGGAGAUCCUUUCUCGACUCCCUGCGAGAAAGAAAUCCUAGAGCCAUACUAUCCAGUUAUCAUCACAAUCAAAUCCUCAUCACCAUCCAGUUCUCAUCACAAGUAUUCAGUUCUAGUUGUAUCGAUCGGGAUACAACUCCAAGUGUCCGUUACCGUAGGACAGGCUAUCGAUAGAUGUUUUCUUCCCUGCAGGGGUGCACCAACUUACCCACCACGCUCGCUUAACUCCGGCCGGACACACUUUCCAGGGUCAUGCCCGGCCUCGGCCAAACAAUACGCCGCAACCUGACCUAGGCUUAAUAGAGAGGCCAGCACGCCGGACUAAACCUAUGCCCCCAGGGGUCAUGGGCCAUCUCCCCGGGAACUCCUGCACGUUGCGAGGGCGGCCGGUGAGCAGACCUAGCUACCUCCUUCAACAAGGCAGGCGCUUACGCAGUCCAACCCGGCGCGCGCCGCUCAGUCGCUGAUGUCUAUUAAGCUUCGGCUGAUGUAUACGACACAGAACGCCCAUACUAUGCCCACGUGAUGGUUAGUGCUAUCAGGCCAGAGGCCCCUCGGAUCAAAUAUCCAAAUCGUAGUGGAUUAGGAACGCGCGGUAACAAGCAGAGACUCACGAAAGAUGUGACCCCGUUGCCCCGUCUCAAGGACUUGCGGCAAGGGCUAGGAAUGCCCGGCCACGCCUCGUAAUUAUCUCGCGGGCACCCUCCAGGUCAACCCGACUCCACAUCACUCGCAAUUAAGCUCGCGCGGGUACCCCUCAGGGUCGACCCGUCUUUCCAAGUAACAGUGGUAAAGUCCAAGUAUCCGUGUGUCCAAACAUUAAGGGGAAAACCCGAGGAAUCACCCCCGGUGAAUUCCACUCGAUGUAAUCAUCAAGGUGAACGUAAGAGGAUCCACCCUCGAGGUUCACACUUGAGGGGUUGCACGACAGAGCCGUAUCGGAAGUGGUUAAGGAGGAAAUCACCCUCGAUGACCACGACCGAAUAGCUACACUACAGGGUUAACAUCAGAAGUGCUGUAGAGGUCUCACCCUCGGCACUCAAUAGUAACACUGCUUGCUCGAGCAACGAAGGGGCGUGAUGUGACGUGAGGUGUCGGGUCCUGGUCUUCGAUCCCGUUGAUUGGGUCUUCUGAUANNNNNNNNNNNNNNNNNNNNNNNNNNNNNNNNNNNNNNNNNNNNNNNNNNNNNNNNNNNNNNNNNNNNNNNNNNNNNNNNNNNNNNNNNNNNNNNNNNNNNNNNNNNNNNNNNNNNNNNNNNNNNNNNNNNNNNNNNNNNNNNNNNNNNNNNNNNNNNNNNNNNNNNNNNNNNNNNNNNNNNNNNNNNNNNNNNNNNNNNNNNNNNNNNNNNNNNNNNNNNNNNNNNNNNNNNNNNNNNNNNNNNNNNNNNNNNNNNNNNNNNNNNNNNNNNNNNNNNNNNNNNNNNNNNNNNNNNNNNNNNNNNNNNNNNNNNNNNCAUCAGAAUAGGUGCAAAUAAUAACAGUAGCAAAAUCUAAUGCAAGCAUGAGAGAAUGGAAUGGGCGAUAUCGGGAUGAUCAAAGGGGGGGGGGCUUGCCUGGUUGCUCUGGCAAGGAGGGGUCGUCGUCGACGUAGUCGAUCACAGGGGCGGCAUCGGUCUCGGGGUCUACCGGAGAGAAGAGGGGGAAGAAACAGUAAAUAUAAUGCAGACAUAGCAUCACAAAGCGUAACAUGGCAAUAUGUUGUGCUGGGUGUGACCUAACGCAUGGCUACACGAUAUAGGUGAAGGGGGAAUUCAACCGGGAAUGUAUUCCCGGUUCCGGACCCGUGUCACACAGAUGACCGGAGGGGAAAUGUUCCAUGUUCAGCAUGCUAGAGGCAUGUGACAGCUGAACGGACCGCAUUUUCAGAUUCGUUGGGUUUUUCUGAGCAACUUUCAUAUAGAAAACAUUUUCAUCCGAGUUACGAUUUAUUUUCUAUGAAUUUUUAAAGUUUUAUUAAUAUUUGGAAAUUAUUUAUAUUAACAGAAAUGGAAUAUGACGUCAACAUGACGUAGGAGCGACGUCAGCAGUCAACAGUGCGGUUGAUUGGUCAAAAUGACCAGUGGGGCCCACUUGUCAUGGACAGGGGCCUUAACAGUGUUUACUAAAACUACUAUGAGGUUAAUUGGCAACUGGGCCCCACAUGUCAGUGUCUCAUUAAGUUAACUAAAUAUUUUAAAUAAAUAAAACAUUGAUUAAGGGAGUGGGGCCCGCAUGUCAGCGGCUGGGGCCUGCCCAGUCAGCACGGUUGACCAGGUCAACGUGGUUAGCUGGGGUCCGGGGACCCACGGGCAGCGACCUGGGGUGGACCCCACGCGGCGCCAGCUCAGCAGAGCCGCCGGAGUUGCUCCGAUGAGCCUCCCGCGGUGGCGCUCUCGCCGGAGGCGAUCGGAAACCGCGUACGGGGCACCAAAUCGUGCGUUGCAACUUGCGUUAGAACGAGGAGAGCGCACCGCGUCCAUUUACGGCGGCGGCGCGGCCCGUAACUGGCUAGAACAACGACGACGAGAGGCCGGGCGGACGCCGGCAUUCGGCCGCGGUCGGAAACGAGGCUAGAGGGCACGGGGAGGCACGAGCUCGAGCUCGUUGGGCUCAUGGGAGCAUGAGGAGCUCGUUGCCGUGUCCUGGUGAGCGCGACAGGGGCUAUGGCCACGGCGGCGAGGCGAUCCGCGGCGACGGGCUCACGGCAACGGCGUCGAGGUAGCUACGACGAACGAAGAGGCUAACGAAGGGGAGCAGGAGACGGAGAAGCUCACCGCGUGGCUCACACGUAGGCCCGUGACGGUUUAGGAGCUGCAGGCUUCGCCGUAAUCGACGACGACGCCGGCAACCGAAGAGGAAGAAGACGACAGCGAUCUCGCGUUGCAGAGUUGGGGAGCUCCAACGGGCGGCACUAGUCGAUGGAGAGGGCGAUGGUGGACCUCGUAGACGUAUCGACGAGGUGCGGGUGCGGCGGUGGUCGCGGUGGGGCGAAGUGGCCGGCGACGAGCGCGUCGUGGAGGUGGAGGGAAAGGGGAUCUGGGGAGAACCCAGAGGAAAGUGGGGCGAUAGAGGAGAGCAUGGGAGUGAGUGGGGCACAGGGGAGAGAACCGAGGCGUCUGGGUGUGGAGGCCUUAUCCUCCCCCUCGUCGUCGACGGCGAGGCGGUCCGGGGCGACCGCGCCCCUGUAGCGACGGGGUCGGUCGAACAGGGAAGGCGACCCGGGGUAAGGUGGGCCGGCUGGUCCGGAUGGGCCAAGGCCCAGGGAGGCAGGGGCUUCCUUUCCCCUUUUCGUUUUCUUUUUAAAACUUUUCUGUUUUCAUUUAACAGUAGCCUUUUGCAUUUUUUUUUGCAGUAAUUAUCUUUUGCAAAAAUGUGCCACUGGUGAAAACAAAUACUAGGGGCAGUGGUGCACUGCCACCAUAAGCUUGGGAUUUAUUUGAAUCCAUUUGGAAUUUUCAUAAUUGGAGUAGCAUUUUAAAAUGCUAGAAUUUGCACUGGAUUAAUUGCUACUGCUCAUUUUAGUAACAUAGUGAUGUUCUUUUUCUUAACAUCAAUUGUUUUGGAAUAUUUGCUAAAUGAUGAACAUUUUUCCAGCAAGUUUACGCAACUUCAAAUUUCACGUUGAAUUUGAAUAGAAUUCAGAGAAGGGAUUUGAGCUGAGAUAUUACCCCAACAUGAUUAAGCUUUGUAAAACAAGAUGACUUGGCACUGAUCAUAAGGGAUUGCUGUAGUGUGAUUCUGAGGAUGUUACAGUGCAUCUGUAGGCUCUAAAAACAAAUGUAUCUGCCCCCCCUAAAUGAUUAAACGUGUGGUUUCUGUAUUAUGCAUGCUGACAUAUGCAUUGGUAAUCAUUAUUCAACGGUAUUCCUUUUCACUGGAAUAAGAACCAUGUAAUGCUUAUGAUUUAAUCUGGUUAUCUAGACAACUAAAUGGGUUAAGGCUAUGCUUAGUCUCUUUUGGCAUAUGUAAUGCGGGGAAGGAAACCAGUGUGUUUUGAUAGGGAUUUCUGGAGGUAACAUGCCUCUGAUUGUAUGCACUGAAUUUCAGAUGCUAUCUUGGGUACGACUGAGCAGUCUCGGAUAUACUUUAACCCAGACAUCAACGCAACAAAUAACUUGAUUAUAAGGUACAAUCAUGAUUAUCAAUGCCUAGCUAUUUUUUGAUCUUGACUAACACAAAGGGUAUAAUGUGUAGUUUCAGGGAGCCGUGUAGUUUCAGGGAGCCCCGUUGCUUUCUCAUAGAAUUUGUUCAGAUAUAAAUUUGCCUAUUACCAACAAUACAUUGAAUUAUAAUUAUAAUAUUGCAGGAACAAAUGUCAUGUGAAGCAAAUAAUUUCCUUAGAAAAAAGUAAGCUCCGUUUGCACUAUUAAUUAGCUUCUUGAGUUAUUUUGCUUGACAAGAGAAAUGGACUUGUUUUUUCUAUGGCCUAAUUGAACAGUAAGGGUCUCUCCUACUUUCAUUUCUAAGAAAACAACUAAACCUACAUACGGACAUGCAUCUCAAUCUCUUGUUUCGAAGUUAAACUGUUUGUAGAUACUUUUGAUGUACCUUUCGAACCCAUAAACUUAAUGUUGUGCUUGUAGUGUUGGUUCUGGGUUUAGAAUCAAUGUAAUAUGUGGAUUGAUAUCCCACCAACCACAAAUCAGAAUUUCUUCUUUGGUAUUCUCCUGGUUUAGAAAAUGUACAUUCUGGUUGGGGAUUUCCAUCGAGAGUGAAUGUAUAAUCCAGCCAACCAACCCAAGAUGUUUACCAGCACCAUCAUGAUGAUCUUUCUCAGCCUUCUCGGCCCAAUCAGUCUUGUAAUAUUCAUCUCAUGGUAGGCAUGCUCUGCAAAAAUGCAGCAACGGCAUUUUUUGUCAUGUAUGUUGAACUUGUGCUAUGAACUGUUAGCAUAUUGGCUCUCCUUGCUUCGACUUUACUUAGGAUAUUCACUCCAAGGAUAGGAAAAUCACAUACAAUUUUCCACAUUUACCCCACUGAAUUAAUUGCCUAACUGUUUAAUGAUUUUUUAGGAGGGCCAAGAAAAAGACGCAAAAGCAUAGCUUGCUCCUUGAUUCCAGUUUCUGCAGCCACCAUUGAUAAGCAUGGGAUUGAGCAAAUGAGUAUCAAAAGGAAGUCAAGGAAACUUCGUCCUCUGGGUUGCUUGCGAUGUAGUUUUCCAACAGCCUCAGCGCCAAGUUAAAACUUCAUCAAUUUCGCAAACGGGGAUAACACCCAUUAUUUUCACUUAUGUUGAAUUGAUAGAUCCUAUAAUGGCAUGGAUAAUUGUGAUGAUGCCAUACACAGAAAUAUACUGCAUUUCUGGACAUCUAGAAAUCUUGUUGCUGGUAGAUACCAUUGCUGUCAGAAAUUAAAAUUUCCUAGAACAUGUGACCAUGAGGCUCCAAGAUAAAAA